ensembl:lncRNA
CUUGUCUAUAGAGGACACAGCAUAGCACUAUUAAAGGCAUUCACAUCACCCAGUAUGAUGAUGCAAACGCUCUAUGUUAUAGGAGAUGCACUCUGAACAUCUGAAAAAAGUCAUCAGAUUUGGGGGUAUAGCUCAGUGGUAGAGCAUUUGACUGCAGAUCAAGAGGUCCCCAGUUCAAAUCUGGGUGCCCCCUUUUUAAAAACAACUUAGAAAGCAUAGGAUAUGGAAAUUAUUCUACUAUUGAGUACUUGUAUCAGGCAACAGGUGUUGCGAAAACUGUAAACCAAUAGCAACUGAGCAUUGUUUCUGGAUGUUGGAUUCAGU